rnacentral:tRNA from 2 species
GCCGGCAUAGCAAAGUGGUUAAUGCGUCUGCCUCGUAAGCAGAAGGUCGCCAGUUCGAUUCUGGCUGUCGGCU